rnacentral:rRNA from 1 species
UGGCGAACGGGUGCGUAACACGUGAGCAACCUGCCCCGAAGACUGGGAUAACACCGGGAAACCGGUGCUAAUACCGGAUGUCCCCACUCCCUCGCAUGGGGGAAUGAGGAAAUGGAUUCCGCUUCGGGAGGGGCUCGCGGCCUAUCAGCUUGUUGGUGGGGUAACGGCCUACCAAGGCAUCGACGGGUAGCUGGUCUGAGAGGACGACCAGCCACACUGGGACUGAGACACGGCCCAG